rnacentral:rRNA from 1 species
UGAGGAAUUUUGCUCAAUGGGCGAAAGCCUGAAGCAGCGACGCCGCGUGAAUGAUGAAGUUCUUCGGAAUGUAAAGUUCUGUCAGCAGGGAACAUAAUGAUGGUACCUGCAGAGGAAGCACCGGCAAACUAUGUGCCAGCAGCCGCGGUAAUACAUAGGGUGCGAGCGUUGUCCGGAUUUACUGGGCGUAAAGGGCUUGUAGGCGGUAAUGCAAGUCAAACUUUAAAUGCUCUUGGCUUAACCAGAGUAUGAGUUUGAUACUGCUUUGCUAGAGACUGGGAGAGGAAAGCGGAACUAACAGUGUAGCGGUGAAAUGCGUAGAUAUUGUUAGGAACACCCGUGGCGAAGGCGGCUUUCUGGACCAGUUCUGACGCUGAGAAGCGAGAGCGUGGGGAUCAAACAGG